rnacentral:tRNA from 1 species
AAUGGUAUAGCUCAAGUGGUAGAGCAUGUGCUUAGCAUGCACGAGGUCCUGGGUUCAAUCCCCAGUACCCCUA